rnacentral:rRNA from 1 species
AGAGAGAGACAUGCGCGCAUAUCAAUAAGCGGAGGAAAAGAAACUAACAAGGAUUCCCUUAGUAACGGCGAGUGAAGCGGGAAGAGCUCAAAUUUGAAAUCUUCAAGGUUUUACCUUGACGAAUUGUAGUUUAAAGAAGUGUUUUCUGCUGAAGUUUUGGUAAAAGUUCUUUGGAAUAGGACAUCAUAGAGGGUGAGAAUCCCGUAUUUGACCAUUAUUUUCAGCUUUGUGAUACACUUUCAAAGAGUCGGAUUGUUUGGGAAUGCAGUCCAAAAUGGGUGGUAAAUUUCAUCUAAAGCUAAAUAUUGGCGAGAGACCGAUAGCGAACAAGUACCGUGAGGGAAAGAUGAAAAGAACUUUGAAAAGAGAGUUAAACAGUACGUGAAAUUGUCAAAAGGGAAGCGUUUGACACCAGUGUUGUUUUCUCGAAAAUCAAUUAAAAAUGGCUCGAUUUUGUAUUACUGAGACCUUAAAAGCUCACUGUACAUUUUUCGUGUCUUUUUUAAUGCACUUUUCGUUUAACAAGUCAACAUCAGUUUCUUUUGUUGUAAAAGGGUCAUUGGAAGGUGGCUUUCUUUUCGGAGAAAGUGUUUAUAGCCUUUGGCCUCCGCAAUCGAAGAGACUGAGGUCUGCAGCGUAGACUCUUCGGGGUUAGAUACAUUUGUGCUAAGUUAUAGCUUUUUAUAGACAACUUGUUGACUAUAAUUAGUCUUGUAGCUUACUCGCUUAUGCUAUUUUACCUACGCUUAGGAUGUUGAAGAUGUAGCACAUCAU